rnacentral:rRNA from 1 species
ACGAACGCUGGCGGCAUGCCUAACACAUGCAAGUCGAACGAGGUCUUCGGGUCUAGUGGCGCACGGGUGCGUAACGCGUGGGAAUCUGCCCUCAGGUUCGGAAUAACCAUUGGAAACGAUGGCUAAUACCGGAUGAUGACGUUAAGUCCAAAGAUUUAUCGCCUGAGGAUGAGCCCGCGUAGGAUUAGCUAGUUGGUGUGGUAAAGGCGCACCAAGGCGACGAUCCUUAGCUGGUCUGAGAGGAUGAUCAGCCACACUGGGACUGAGACACGGUCCAGACUCCUACGGGAGGCAGCAGUGGGGAAUAUUGGACAAUGGGCGCAAGCCUGAUCCAGCAAUGCCGCGUGAGUGAUGAAGGCCUUAGGGUUGUAAAGCUCUUUUACCCGGGAUGAUAAUGACAGUACCGGGAGAAUAAGCUCCGGCUAACUCCGU